rnacentral:lncRNA from 1 species
AUUUUGAAACGGGGUCUCACUGAGUUGCCUACUCAGGCUGGCCUCAAACUUGCCAUCCUUCUGCCUCAGCCUCAGGAGUCCUGGGAUUAUAGGACUUGCUCCCCGAUACCAGCUCCUCCUUGAUACACCUGUUGGAUAGGCAGACAGCUUCCUGGGAUGGACAGGAGCUACCUCACCAGCCCUGCUCAAAGCCGUGAAAAUAAGAGCAGUGCUGUAGCAUAUCACCUCCCAGAGGAUCCUAAGACACACAACGACUAACUGUCUUGGGAGAGUUAUUGGAAAGAAAAAGUAUAAUAAAUAGAAAAUAAGAAAUUGUAAAUGAAGUGUGGGCCUUGCUUGAUGAUAAUACAUCUACCUUGGUUCAUUAAUUGUAACAAAGGUAUCAGACUAGUAAAAGAUACUGUCUUGGUCCUUUGGGAUGCUGUAACAAAACACCUUAGACUGGGUAUUUUAUAAACAGCGUAACAACCUAAGUAUGUUGCUCACAGUUCUGGAGGAUGG